UACGUAGGGUGCAAGCGUUAAUCGGAAUUACUGGGCGUAAAGCGUGCGCAGGCGGCUUUGUAAGUCUGACGUGAAAUCCCCGGGCUCAACCUGGGAAUUGCGUUGGAGACUGCAAGGCUGGAGUCUGGCAGAGGGGGGUAGAAUUCCACGUGUAGCAGUGAAAUGCGUAGAGAUGUGGAGGAACACCGAUGGCGAAGGCAGCCCCCUGGGUCAAGACUGACGCUCAUGCGCGAAAGCGUGGGGAGCAAACAGG
rnacentral:rRNA from 1 species